UACGGGGGGAGCAAGCGUUGUUCGGAUUUACUGGGCGUAAAGGGCGCGUAGGCGGCCAGCACAAGUCAGUUGUGAAAUCUCCGAGCUUAACUCGGAAAGGUCAACUGAUACUGUGCGGCUAGAGUGCAGAAGGGGCAACUGGAAUUCUUGGUGUAGCGGUGAAAUGCGUAGAUAUCAAGAGGAACACCUGCGGCGAAGGCGGGUUGCUGGGCUGACACUGACGCUGGAGGCGCGGAAAGCUAGGGGAGCGAACGGG
rnacentral:rRNA from 1 species